rnacentral:rRNA from 1 species
AUAAUGGGUCAGCGACUUAUAUUCUGUAGCAAGGUUAACCGAAUAGGGGAGCCGAAGGGAAACCGAGUCUUAACUGGGCGUUAAGUUGCAGGGUAUAGACCCGAAACCCGGUGAUCUAGCCAUGGGCAGGUUGAAGGUUGGGUAACACUAACUGGAGGACCGAACCGACUAAUGUUGAAAAAUUAGCGGAUGACUUGUGGCUGGGGGUGAAAGGCCAAUCAAACCGGGAGAUAGCUGGUUCUCCCCGAAAGCUAUUUAGGUAGCGCCUCGUGAAUUCAUCUCCGGGGGUAGAGCACUGUUUCGGCAAGGGGGUCAUCCCGACUUACCAACCCGAUGCAAACUGCGAAUACCGGAGAAUGUUAUCACGGGAGACACACGGCGGGUGCUAACGUCCGUCGUGAAGAGGGAAACAACCCAGACCGCCAGCUAAGGUCCCAAAGUCAUGGUUAAGUGGGAAACGAUGUGGGAAGGCCCAGACAGCCAGGAUGUUGGCUUAGAAGCAGCCAUCAUUUAAAGAAAGCGUAAUAGCUCACUGGUCGAGUCGGCCUGCGCGGAAGAUGUAACGGGGCUAAACCAUGCACCGAAGCUGCGGCAGCGACGCUUAUGCGUUGUUGGGUAGGGGAGCGUUCUGUAAGCCUGUGAAGGUGUGUUGUGAGGCAUGCUGGAGGUAUCAGAAG